CCUACGGGUGGCAGCAGUAGGGAAUAUUGCACAAUGGGCGCAAGCCUGAUCCAGCCACGUCGCGUGGGUGAAGAAGGUCCUACGAUCGUUAAACCUUGUUUUUAGAGAAGCAAGUGCGUGCGCGUAACCGUUCACGUUUCGACGGUAUCCAACCAGCAAGCCACAGCUAACUACGUGCCAGCACCCGCGGUAAUACGUAGGUGUCAUGCGUUAUCCGGAUUUAUUGGGCGUAAAGGGAACGCAGGCGGUCUUUUAAGUCCGAUGUGAAAGAGUUCGGGUUAAACGGAGUAGUGCAUUUGAAACUGGCAGACUUGAGUGCAGUAGAGGAGAGCGGAAUGCGAGGUGUAGCGGUGAAAUGCGUAGAUAUAACGAAGAACGCCGGUGGCGAAGGCAGCUCACUGGUCUGUAACUGACGCUGAGGUUCGAAAGCGUGGGUAGCAAACAGGAUUAGAUACCCUGGUAGUC
rnacentral:rRNA from 1 species